AAAUUAUUUAAUUAAUUAGUAUAUUGUUAAAAAAAAAUAUUAUUUUUCAAAAUAAAAUUUUUUCUGCCAACUUUCGCUCGUUAUAAUUAAAUUAAACUUCUCCUAAAAUUAAAUAUAUUUAAUAAUACUGCAAUAAGGUUUAUAACCAUGUUAGCAAAUAAUUAACUAUAGUAAAGCAAAUUAAAAUAAAAACAUUCUAAUACAUAUGUUACAUACUAUAUGUUACAAAAAUUCCAAUCCAAAAGUUACAAACAUUCCAAUCCAAAUAUUUCGAUCAUUCCAAUCCAUAUUAAUAACAACAUAUUAAUAAUACUGCAAUAAGAUUUAUAAUCAUGUUAGCAAAUAAUUAACUAUAGUAAAACAAAUUAAAAUAAAAACAUUCCAAUACAUAUGUUACAUACCAUAUGUUACAAACAUUCCAAUUCAAAAGUUACAAACAUUCCAAUCCAUAUUAAUAACAAUAUAUUAAUAAUACUGUAAUAAGAUUUAUAACAAUGUUAGCAAAUAAUUAACACAACA
rnacentral:lncRNA from 1 species